rnacentral:rRNA from 1 species
CCCGAAGGAAAAGAAAUCAAUUGAGAUUCCGGCAGUAGCGGCGAGCGACCCCGGAUUAGCCCUUAAGCAGUUUACGUGUUAGUGGAAGCCUCUGGAAAGUGGCGCGAUACAGGGUGAUAGCCCCGUACACGACAAUGCUUUUAUUGUGAAAACGAGUAGGACGGGACACGUGGUAUCCUGUCUGAACAUGGGGGGACCAUCCUCCAAGGCUAAAUACUCCUGACUGACCGAUAGUGAACCAGUACCGUGAGGGAAAGGCGAAAAGAACCCC